rnacentral:rRNA from 1 species
CCUACGGGUGGCAGCAGUGGGGAAUAUUGCACAAUGGGGGAAACCCUGAUGCAGCGACGCCGCGUGAAGGAAGAAGUAUUUCGGUAUGUAAACUUCUAUCAGCGGGGAGGAAAAUGGCGGUACCUGACUAAGAAGCCCCGGCUAACUACGUGCCAGCAGCCACGGUAAUACGUAGGGGGCAAGCGUUCUCCGGAUUUACUGGGUGUAAAGGGCACGUGGGCGGCGAGGCAAGUCAGAAGUGAAAGCCCGGGGCUCAACUCCGGAACUGCUUUUGAAACUGGGUGGCUAGAGUGCAGGAGAGGUAAGUGGAAUUCCUAGUGUAGCGGUGAAAUGCGUAGAUAUUAGGAGGAACACCAGUGGCGAAGGCGGCCUACUGGACGGUAAAUGACGCUGAGGCGCGAAAGCGUGGGGAGCAAACAGGAUUAGAUACCCGAGUAGUC